rnacentral:rRNA from 1 species
AUAACCCGGAGAAAUCCGGCCUAAUACCGCGUAACACCUUUUGGGAGCAUUCCCGGGAGGUUAAAGGAGAGAUCCGGCAUAGGAUGGACAUGCGUCGCAUUAGGUAGACGGCGGGGUAACGGCCCACCGUGCCGACGAUGCGUAGGGGUUCUGAGAGGAAGGCCCCCCACACUGGUACUGAGACACGGACCAGACUCCUACGGGAGGCAGCAGUGAGGAAUAUUGGUCAAUGGCCGAGAGGCUGAACCAGCCAAGUCGCGUGAGGGAAGAAUGUCCUAAGGAUUGUAAACCUCUUUUGUCGGGGAGCAAAAAGGCUCUGCGGAGUCGUAUUGAGAGUACCCGAAGAAAAAGCAUCGGCUAACUCCGUGCCAGCAGCCGCGGUAAUACGGAGGAUGCGAGCGUUAUCCGGAUUUAUUGGGUUUAAAGGGUGCGCAGGCGGCGUGUCAAGCAAGCGGUAAAAUAGCGGGGCUCAACCCCGUCGAGCCGUUUGAACUGGCGCGCUUGAGUUCAGGCGAGGUAGGCGGAAUUCGUGGUGUAGCGGUGAAAUGCAUAGAUAUCACGAAGAACUCCGAUUGCGAAGGCAGCUUACCAGUCUGCGACUGACGCUCAGGCACGAAAGUGUGGGUAUCGAACAGGAUUAGAUACCCUGGUAGUCCACACAGUAAACGAUGAGCAAGGGGUGUCCGGGUCGCAUGAGACUUGGGUG